UACGUAGGGUACGAGCGUUGUCCGGAAUUAUUGGGCGUAAAGAGCUUGUAGGCGGUCUGUCGCGUCUGCUGUGAAAAUCCGGGGCUCAACCCCGGACUUGCAGUGGGUACGGGCAGACUAGAGUGUGGUAGGGGAGACUGGAAUUCCUGGUGUAGCGGUGAAAUGCGUAGAUAUCGAGAGGAACACCUGCGGCGAAGGCGGGUUGCUGGGCUGAUACUGACGCUGAGGGACGAAAGCUAGGGGAGCGAACGGG
rnacentral:rRNA from 1 species